UUAGCCGAAUGUACCAGUAAGCUGGCCGUUGUACAAAAAUGUUUCAUAGUGUUCAAGUACAUUUCACAGUUAGCCAAAACAUGCAAAUGGAGUCGUAGUGAAGUUUGACGUGCCCUACUCGCUAUACAUAACAGAAGGGGGAAACUUGAUCGAGACACACCCGGAAGUACCAAAGAAUAGCACUUCAGUAUUUUCAUGGAACAUGUAACAACAGAUGUCUUAGGAUGAUAUGAAAACCCUAUGUUCAUGCAUUUGCCUGAGCGACGAUUGUGCGAUACAUCCACAUUUACGAGUAGCUCAUGCUUCUCUGACAGAGCGCUCCUGAUCCACUGCAGCUGAGCUUCCCUGUCUGCUUCACCAUGCCGCUGGUGUUGGACGCAGUGUGGGCGCUGUGGAGCAUCGGAGCUGGCAUAUAUGACUACUUCCACACCAGUGCCAUGGAGGAGAGGAUCCACACGCUGGAAAACGUCCUCUCUAUUCACCAGUUUGUGAUCGCAGGCCUGUCGGCAGGGCUCCUCCUGCUCAUUACCUACAUAUUCUGGAGAAAACACUGAAACCUCACUCACCCCCACUACUUCUUGAUUUGUCGCAGGAUAUCAUGCAUUAACCAUGCUAGUUUCCAUCCCGAUGCUGACAGUUUGGUUUUUGUGGCUGUUCACACUUGAAUAUCAAGCAUAUUCAGCAACAAUCAAGACAUCCCAAAUGAGGUCAGGAGCACUGAUGGGAAUCUAAACUGUGCGCAAAAGCUCGAUAAGGACCUUUUAAAAUGUACAUUAUCCAUUACUUUGCGGGCGUUGGUGUGUCAGCUUCUCCCUGGUUUUUGAAUGUUAAACUGGCCUCAGUAAAAUUAAAACUAAAUUACUAAUUUGCACUUUUUUGCAAUGUUUGAAGGACAUCGGUCUUGAGAAAAACUCUGAAAUAGCUAAUUUAACAGAAAACUUUAGCCUCAAAUUGGUAUUUGUACAUCAAUUACUCACCCUGUGUAAGGCUGAAAAUGACAAAUGUCUUCAAGAACUCAAUGUGACACAGGGUGAGUUAAUCAUACACAAAUAGUCAUUUUGGGGGUGAAAUAUUUUUUUCAACAUCUUCCAAAUGUGUGAUGUGGUGCAAGAUGUUUUGCCAAUGGAGACAAUUUUAAACAUGUAGAACUUUGGAUUCGUUACAGAAGUUAAGGGCGACUGUCACAAGUAUUUAGUUAUAAAAUCAACACUUUCCUCAAACACAAGUCAUUAUUUCUUAUCUCUUUUUUUGUUGGGCUAAUUCAUUUCUCUUGAUCUUGAGAUAAUAUUUCUCAUAAGAUGGUGUCCAUGUAUAUAAGCCUAGAGAUAUUAAGAUGUUACAAUUAAGUUGCGAUCUUGUUGAUUUUGAUACACUGAGGAUAAGGGAUUUGAGAUGAAGGUUAGUCUAUUUAUUUUGUGAUGUUUAAUGUCAAGAUUAACAUUUUCACUACAACUGUUAACUGUCCUAGUUUUGUGUGUCAUGCUUUUGUGUUUUAAAUAGGGUACUGAUUUAAUCCAGUGUUGUUGACUUUAAAUACCUGCUCCAGGGGUUCAUGGGGGGUUCAGGGUGCCAGUGUACUGAAUGUACUACUGUAUGUUACAAACUGCUACGAUGGCUACUUUUAAAGGGAAUAUCUUUGAAUAAUAAAUCAUAAUUUAAGUCAAA